rnacentral:rRNA from 1 species
CGCCUCCCUCCGCCGCCACUCACGACUACCGUACGGACGGCGAGCAGGUGGGAAGUAGUUAGGACAAGUGGGCGCGAACGCCUGACUCCAGCCAUGCCGCGUGAGUGAUGAAGGCCUAGGGUUGUAAAGCUCUUUUGUGCGGGAAGAUAAUGACGGUACCGCAAGAAUAAGCCCCGGCUAACUUCGUGCCAGCAGCCGCGUAAUAC